GCUGGGUGUGGUGGCGUGCGCCUGUAGUCCCAGCUACUCGGGAGGCUGAGGCAGAAGAAUCACUUGAAUCUGGGAGGUGGAGGUUGCAGUGAGCCGAGAUCGUUCCACUGCACUCCAGCCUGGGUGACAGAGUGAGACUCUGUCUCAA
rnacentral:SRP_RNA from 1 species